ACAAACCCUUGGUCGUGAUCCUGGCUCUGGCUGAUUUGAGAUUGCUGGUGGGCGUGUUCUCCAGUGAUCCUGUCUUCUCACCUGCAGUUCAUCAUGUCAAUCAAGCACACCUGUUCCAUAUCAAGCAAUCUACUCUCUUAUAAAAGCCAGACCAACUUUCCAGUCCCCACCGGAUCGUUGUACCAUUCAUGUUCCAGCCUGAACCUUGGAAUCAAAUCUCUCACCAGAACCUCAGGACACAGAUCACUGGAACUGGAUCACCAACCCUCUGUUCUGCGAGAACAUACCCUGCUCAGCAUACAUCUCUGUUUAAACUUGUGGUUAAUAAAUUUACCUUUAAUUGAA